rnacentral:tRNA from 1 species
GGUUAUUUAGUUUAACAUAAAACAAAUGUUUUGAAAACAUUAAAUAAGAAAUUCUUAAUACCCA